UCUAAUUUAAGACUAUGUCCUCUUGUUGUGGUAGCUUUUCUUCUUUUAAAUAUAGUCUCCUCCUUUACUGUGUUGAUUCCCUUUAUGUAUUUAAAUGUUUCUAUCAAAUCCCCCCUGUCUCGUCUUUCCUCCAAGCUAUACAUGUUAAGAUCCUUUAACCUUUCCUGGUAAGUUUUAUCCUGCAAUCCAUGAACCAGUUUAGUAGCCCUUCUCUGAACUCUCUCUAAAGUAUCAAUAUCCUUCUGAAGAUACGGUCUCCAGUACUGCGUACAAUACUCCAAGUGAGGUCUCACCAGUGUUCUGUACAAUGGCAUGAGCACUUUCCUCUUUCUACUGCUAAUACCUCUCCCUAUACAACCAAGC